GCGUCGAGCUCUUGAGUAGAACUAAGUCCCCGAUUUUGAGGUUGGGGACGCGACUACACCACUUCGAUCGCGCCUGUAAUGUGUUACUGAUGGCACCGGAACAGAUUUUAAUGCUGCGCCCACGAGAAAGUGACCUGGAGUGAGGGCCUCACAUGACUCGAGGUCAUCGUUUAAAGGAGCCAAAGGGCGUGAAUUUAAACAUGCCUCGAUGCGGCAGAGGAGCGUAGUUAGUUCCUCGCAAGUAGGCGUACGAUCGCCGAGCAUGCGUCGCAGAUGGGUCUUAACGCUUUUGACCCCUGCCUCCCAGAUUCCUCCAAAAUGAGGAGCUGCCGGCGGAAUAAAGUGCCACGUGAUAUAAUCGGCAGCUAAACGCGAACGAAGGCAAUCCGCGGCGAGACGUGAAGCGUUCAAAUGCUGCUAGAAACGCUGAAGUGGAGUAGUCGCGCACCAAUUCGAGGUGGAUAGCGCGAGUCGCCAAACAAACAAAAAGAGCGAUGUAAACCUUUUGCGCCCUUUGCCCACGUCCACGAUACGCGAGAGCAGAGAACGGUCCUGCGUAAUCCAGGCCGCAAUGGACGAACGCUCGAGAUGGAGUGACUCUCACCGCAGCUUCCUUCGGGACCGUAGGCUUACUUUCUGGCCACUCAUUAGGAGCUUGUAUAAGCCAGGAAGGGCCGUGCCACCAAAGGGUAUGUUGAAGCAGCUGUGAUACCGAUA